rfam:Branchiostoma floridae genomic scaffold BRAFLscaffold_240, whole genome shotgun sequence.
GGCACUUGAAUGAAGGCCUUGCAGCAAACCUACUUGGUAUGCAUGGCCGGAUGUACCGUGUC